UACGUAGGGUGCAAGCGUUAAUCGGAAUUACUGGGCGUAAAGCGUGCGCAGGCGGUCUUUUUAAGUCAGAUGUGAAAUCCCCGGGCUUAACCUGGGAACUGCGUUUGAAACUGGAAGGCUUGAGUGUGGCAGAGGGGGGUGGAAUUCCACGUGUAGCAGUGAAAUGCGUAGAGAUGUGGAGGAACACCGAUGGCGGAACGGCAG
rnacentral:rRNA from 1 species